UACAGAGGAUGCAAGCGUUAUCCGGAAUGAUUGGGCGUAAAGCGUCUGUAGGUGGCUUUUUAAGUCCGCCGUCAAAUCCCAGGGCUCAACUCUGGACAGGCGGUGGAAACUACCAAGCUGGAGUACGGUAGGGGCAGAGGGAAUUUCCGGUGGAGCGGUGAAAUGCGCAGAUAUCAGGAGGAACACCAAUGGCGAAGGCAGCUCGCUGGGACGUGACUGACGCUGAGACGCGAAAGCGUGGGGAGCAAACAGG
rnacentral:rRNA from 1 species